GUGGGAGGGGGCGGGGAAACCGGAAGGGGCGGUUGUCGCAGGAGGGAAGGAGCGAACCCUGAGAGCUUGUCCUGAGAGCAAUGAAGGCGGCAAAAAGGCGGACCGCUUCUCCCGCUUCUACGAGGACCGACACUUCCCGGUAAACUCGGGUGUCGCCGAGGAUGCGGAUGGAGCCUCACACUGUCGCCUGGGCUGGCGUGCAAUGGCACAAUCUUGGCUCACUGCAACCUCUGCCUCCUGGGUUCAAGAGAUUCUCCUGCCUCAGCCUCCUAAGUAGCAGGGACUACAGAGAUGGGGUCUUGUUGUUGCCCAAGCUGAUCUUGAACUCCUGGCCUCAAGUGAUCCUCCCACUUUGGCUUCCAAAGUCCUGGGAUUACAGUGAAGGAAAGAAGAAAAAAAAGUAAAGGAGAGGAAGAAAGAGGAAGAGAAAGAGGGAGAGUGAGUGGAAAUACUGCUUUAUUCUUUAAAAAAAAAAAAAGUAUUAAUAAUGGCCAAUCGGUUUCAUUUAAACCUAUGAGUAUGUGUGAUGUGGUAUUGACUAGAAUGUUUGUUUUGUGUAUUUGAAGUGGAGAGCUCUAUAAAUAUUUAUUACUUGUUCCA